GGGCCCGCACAAGCGGUGGAGCAUGUGGUUUAAUUCGAUGCAACGCGAAGAACCUUACCUACUCUUGACAUCUACAGGAUCCUGCGGAGACGCGGGAGUGCCUUCGGGAACUGUAAGACAGGUGCUGCAUGGCUGUCGUCAGCUCGUGUUGUGAAAUGUUGGGUUAAGUCCCGCAACGAGCGCAACCCUUAUCCUUGUUUGCCAGCACGUAAUGGUGGGAACUCCAGGGAGACUGCCGGUGAUAAACCGGAGGAAGGUGGGGACGACGUCAAGUCAUCAUGGCCCUUACGAGUAGGGCUACACACGUGCUACAAUGGCAUAUACAGAGGGCAGCGAGACCGCGAGGUGGAGCGAAUCCCAGAAAGUAUGUCGUAGUCCGGAUUGGAGUCUGCAACUCGACUCCAUGAAGUCGGAAUCGCUAGUAAUCG
rnacentral:rRNA from 1 species